rnacentral:lncRNA from 10 species
CACGAAACUUUUGUCUGUGUCUCCCCAUAAUGUGACCUUUAGAAGUUGCCAAUGGCCCACCCAAUACCCAACCAUGAUUUUUCUGAGAUAAUCUGCCCGAGGUGUGUGAGAGGAAACGCGAAGAAGGCAGUCAGGAGGAUUCACUCUUGGGGGAGCUGGGUAGGAUCCUAUCUCCUCCUACAUCCAGAGCAUGCAGGCUCCAUUUAGAUACAAAGGGGUGGGAUUGGGUUCCUGGGGAGAAAUUGAGCCCCUUUGAUUCUGCGGUUCUGUGGGUCUAAAUCUGGCAUCUCCUUGGCUAUCCACCCCCAGGCUUUGUGAUUGGUUGGCUGUGGUUGGUGGGGGGGCAGGAAGCUGCUGGUGGAGCUGCAGCAUCCUUCAGUCUCAGGCCCCUGGGAGGGGGAGGGGAAAGAACCAGGGCUGAGCUGUGGAGUGAAGGGGAGCCAUUUCUCUCCACCGACUGCAACCUCCGUGCUCACAGCUCACGGUUCACCAGAAUCCAGGGGCUUGGUCGGCCUAGGAAUCCACAAUGCUGGAUAUUUUCAUCCUGAUGUUCUUUGCCAUCAUAGGCCUGGUCAUUCUGUCCUACAUUAUCUAUCUGCUCUAGUGGCCUGGAGCUGCGGCCGGAGCCUGCUGGAGAACAGCUCAGAAGGAAGGAUGGAGAUGAAUGGCCGAGUGCCCUGCUUGCUGACGCACCGGUGGAUUUUUGCUUCUGCUGUUAUCUCGGCUCCUGGUCUCUCCAGUCCAACAAGAGGCCUCUCAUCCACAGAAGCAGUCCUACUGCCCAGCAGACCUCUUUCAGAGCCUUCCAGACAUGGCUGACCCCUGGCAAGCAAGGGGCUUUUUGAGCUGAGAGGCACUUGGCUGGGACUUCAGGAAUUCAUGGACAGGGCUGGCAGAUACUGCAUAUGUUUGAGCUGUAGAUGGGAUUGAGAACAGAAAGUUGAAAUGGAGACUUAUUAAAGUUACCGUGGAGAACUGCUCAAAAAUUCAUUUUGAAUUAAGGAAACUUAAAUUCAUUUUAAGUUUCCUUAGAUCUAAAUGCAACUGCACAUUACACUCAAAUAUGUUCCUUCCUUCUCACACACAGGACUCCCUUGUGAAACUCAAGGGGAAGUUCAAGUUGUCCAUCUUCAUCUAUGAAGUAGUCACUUUAUCACUGUCUUUACAGAUUGCACAGUCUGGGGUUUUGUGGUUUCUCUUGUCUCACUCUCCAGCCAGGAAGAACUUGUCAUUUGAGUUUUUAAAAUGUAUCAUUUCUUCCCCACCUCAAACCACUUGUAUCCCAGUUUCUCAUUUAAAGGGAGAAAUGGUUAUAUAGUCCUCUCUUUGCACCUGAUUGAAUUAUAAAUGAUAGAAACAAGAUGGCUAUACUUAUUUAGGAAAAAUCUCUUACCCCAAAAUGAGUGUGUGUGUGUGUGUGUGUGUGCGUGUGUGUGUGUGUGUGUGUUUUAAUCAAAGAUCUUUUCUGGAAAAAACUUUCCACAUAGUUCUCUGACCCAUUAGAGUUGAAGAAACUAUGUAUUUUGGGAUUCAGAGUAGAAUUGGCCUGCAAAUCUGGGGUGUUUAUUCCUUUUACAAGUCUAUCAUAAUUGUUCUACAUUUAAUUUUCCUUUCUUGCUUAAAAGUAAACAAGGAGAGUCAGGAGUGGUGGCUCAUGCCUGUAAUCCCAGCACUCUGGGAGGCCGAGGCGGAUGGAUCACCUGAGGUCAGGAGUUGGAGACCAGCCUGGCCAACACGGUGAAACCCCGUCUCUACUAAAAAUACAAAAAUUAGUCAGGCACAGUAGUGCGCGCCUGUAGUCCCAGCUACCCGGGAGGCUGAGGCCGAAGAAUUGCUUGAACCCGGGAGGCAGAGGUUGUAGUGAGCCGACAUCAUGUCACUGCACUCCAGCCUGGGAGACAUAGCGAGAUUCCGUCUCAAAUAAAAUAAAAUAAAUAAAUAAAUAAACAAGGAGAAAGAUUAGUUUUUAGUAAUAACAUUGUGUCCAAUUUCCAUGUUUUAAAACAAAAAUUGAGGCAUUAUAUGUCACAACUGAAAUGGAAAAGUUGUGUUUAAAAAUUAUGGACAAGGCCGGGCACGGUGGCUCACGCCUGGAAUCCCAGCACUUUGGGAGGCUCAGGCAGGAGGAUCACUUGAGGUCGGGAGUUUGAGACCAGUCUGACCAACGUGGUGAAACCCUGUCUCUACUAAAAAUACAAAAAUUAGCUGGUGUGGUGGCAGGUGCCUGUAAUCCCAGCUACUCAGGAGGCUGAGGCAGGAGAAUCGCUUGAACCUGGGAGGCAGAGGUUGCAGUGAGCCGAGAUCACACCUCUGCACUCCAGCCUAGGUGACACAGCAAGACCCCAUCUCAAAAAAAAAUAAUAAU